CAUGUGUAGCGGUGGAAUGCGUAGAUAUAUGGAAGAACACCAGUGGCGAAGGCGGCUGUCUGGUCUGCAACUGACGCUGAGGCUCGAAAGCAUGGGUAGCGAACAGGAUUAGAUACCCUGGUAGUCCAUGCCGUAAACGAUGAGUGCUAGGUGUUGGAGGGUUUCCGCCCUUCAGUGCCGGAGCUAACGCAUUAAGCACUCCGCCUGGGGAGUACGACCGCAAGGUUGAAACUCAAAGGAAUUGACGGGGGCCCGCACAAGCGGUGGAGCAUGUGGUUUAAUUCGAAGCUACGCGAAGAACCUUACCAGGUCUUGACAUCUUGCGCUAACCUUAGAGAUAAGGCGUUCCCUUCGGGGACGCAAUGACAGGUGGUGCAUGGUCGUCGUCAGCUCGUGUCGUGAGAUGUUGGGUUAAGUCCCGCAACGAGCGCAACCCUUGUUACUAGUUGCCAGCAUUAAGUUGGGCACUCUAGUGAGACUGCCGGUGACAAACCGGAGGAAGGUGGGGACGACGUCAGAUCAUCAUGCCCCUUAUGACCUGGGCUACACACGUGCUACAAUGGACGGUACAACGAGUCGCAAGCUCGCGAGAGUAAGCUAAUCUCUUAAAGCCGUUCUCAGUUCGGACUGUAGGCUGCAACUCGCCUACACGAAGUCGGAAUCGCUAGUAAUCGCGGAUCAGCAUGCCGCGGUGAAUACGUUCCCGGGCCUUGUACACACCGCCCGUCACACCAUGGGAGUUUGUAACGCCCAAAGUCGGUGGCUUAACCUUUAUGGAGGGAGCCGC
rnacentral:rRNA from 2 species